rnacentral:rRNA from 1 species
CAGCCGCCGCGGUAAUACAGAGGGUGCGAGCGUUAAUCGGAUUUACUGGGCGUAAAGCGUGCGUAGGCGGCUAAUUGAGUCGGAUGUGAAAUCCCCGAGCUUAACUUGGGAAUUGCAUUCGAUACUGGUUAGCUAGAGUGUGGGAGAGGAUGGUAGAAUUCCAGGUGUAGCGGUGAAAUGCGUAGAGAUCUGGAGGAAUACCGAUGGCGAAGGCAGCCAUCUGGCCUAACACUGACGCUGAGGUACGAAAGCAUGGGGAGCAAACAGGAUUAGAUACCCCAGUAGUCCCUGUCUCUUAUAA